rnacentral:rRNA from 1 species
AAGGACCGAAAGGUGACCGACCCUUCGGGGAGCUUGCACAGGUGCUGCAUGGCUGUCGUCAGCUCGUGUCGUGAGAUGUUCGGUUAAGUCCGCUAACGAGCGCAACCCUCGCUGUGUGUUAUAUGUGUCACACGGGACUGCCGGUCUUAAGCCGGAGGAAGGUGGGGAUGAUGUCAAGUCAGCAUGGCCUUUAUAUCCUGGGCUACACACACGCUACAAUGGCCAACACAAUAGGUUGCUAAGCCGCGAGGUGGCGCCAAUCCAUAAAGUUGGUCUCAGUUCAGAUUGUAGGCUGCAACCCGCCUGCAUGAAGAUGGAGUUGCUAGUAACCGCAGGUCAGCUAUACUGCGGUGAAUACGUUCCCGGGGCUU